rnacentral:lncRNA from 1 species
UUGUAUAUUUAUGAAAUCAAUAGAAAAACUACUUUCACUAUAUUUACAUAUCUCUACUUGAGUAUCUUUAAGUAUUUACUUACAAUUGCCUUCUUCUGAAUAUGAAAUCAAAUUCUUAUGCAUUGAGUUGUCUAACCACUUGAACUUUAGAGUAGCUUUAAAAUCAGUUGGCACAUGAACAACCUUGUCGAGUAUCAAGACGCAAC